CAGCCGCCGCGGGAAUACGUAGGGUGCAAGCGUUAAUCGGAAUUACUGGGCGUAAAGCGUGCGCAGGCGGUGUUGUAAGACUGAUGUGAAAUCCCCGGGCUCAACCUGGGAACUGCAUUGGUGACUGCAACGCUGGAGUGCGGCAGAGGGGGAUGGAAUUCCGCGUGUAGCAGUGAAAUGCGUAGAUAUGCGGAGGAACACCGAUGGCGAAGGCAAUCCCCUGGGCCUGCACUGACGCUCAUGCACGAAAGCGUGGGGAGCAAACAGAAUUAGAUACCCGCGUAGUCCCUGUCUCUUAUAC
rnacentral:rRNA from 1 species